rnacentral:rRNA from 1 species
UACGAAGGGGGCUAGCGUUGUUCGGAAUUACUGGGCGUAAAGGGCGCGUAGGCGGCCUUGCAAGUCAGAGGUGAAAGUCCUGGGCUCAACCUGGGGAUUGCCUUUGAAACUGCGGGGCUGGAGACCGGGAGAGGGUAGCGGAAUUCCCAGUGUAGAGGUGAAAUUCGUAGAUAUUGGGAAGAACACCAGUGGCGAAGGCGGCUACCUGGACCGGUUCUGACGCUGAGGCGCGAAAGCGUGGGGAGCAAACAGGAUUAGAUACCCUGGUAGUCCACGCCGUAAACGAUGAGUGCUAGACGUCGGGGGGUUGCCUCUCGGUGUCGCAGCUAACGCUUUAAGCACUCCGCCUGGGGAGUACGGCCGCAAGGUUA